rnacentral:rRNA from 1 species
GGGCCCGCACAAGCGGUGGAGUAUGUGGUUUAAUUCGAAGCAACGCGAAGAACCUUACCAAGGCUUGACAUGGAAACGACAGGUUUAGAGAUAAGCCCUCCUUUCGGGGCGUUUCACACAGGUGGUGCAUGGUUGUCGUCAGCUCGUGUCGUGAGAUGUUGGGUUAAGUCCCGCAACGAGCGCAACCCUUGCCGUUAGUAGCCAUCAUUCAGUUGGGCACUCUAGCGGGACUGCCGUGGAUAACACGGAGGAAGGCGGGGAUGACGUCAAAUCAUCAUGCCCCUUAUGUCUUGGGCUACACACGUACUACAAUGGAUGAGAACAAAGCGAAGCGAAGCCGCAAGGUCAAGCAAAUCGCAAAAAAGCAUUCUCAGUUCGGAUCGAGGGCUGCAACCCGCCCUCGUGAAGUUGGAAUCGCUAGUAAUCGCGGAUCAGCAUGCCG